rnacentral:rRNA from 1 species
GUUAGCUCCGGCACUAAGCCCCGGAAAGGGCCUAACACCUAGCACUCAUCGUUUACGGCGUGGACUACCAGGGUAUCUAAUCCUGUUUGCUCCCCACGCUUUCGAGCCUCAGCGUCAGUUACAGACCAGAGAGCCGCUUUCGCCACCGGUGUUCCUCCAUAUAUCUACGCAUUUCACCGCUACACAUGGAAUUCCACUCUCCCCUUCUGCACUCAAGUUCUCCAGUUUCCAAAGCGUACAUUGGUUGAGCCAAUGCCUUUAACUUCAGACUUAAAAAACCGCCUGCGCUCGCUUUACGCCCAAUAAAUCCGGACAACGCUCGGGACCUACGUAUUACCGCGGCUGCUGGCACGUAGUUAGCCGUCCCUUUCUGGUUAGUUACCGUCACUUGGUGGAUUUUCCACUCCCACCAUCAUUCUU